rnacentral:rRNA from 1 species
UUUUAUGGAGAGUUUGAUCCUGGCUCAGAGUGAACGCUGGCGGCGUGCCUAAUACAUGCAAGUCGAACGAUGAAGCUUCUAGCUUGCUAGAAGUGGAUUAGUGGCGUACGGGUGAGUAACGCAUAGGUCAUGUGCCUCUUAGUUUGGGAUAGCCAUUGGAAACGAUGAUUAAUACCAGAUACUCCCUACGGGGGAAAGAUUUAUCGCUAAGAGAUCAGCCUAUGUCCUAUCAGCUUGUUGGUAAGGUAAUGGCUUACCAAGGCUAUGACGGGUAUCCGGCCUGAGAGGGUGAACGGACACACUGGAACUGAGACACGGUCCAGACUCCUACGGGAGGCAGCAGUAGGGAAUAUUGCUCAAUGGGGGAAACCCUGAAGCAGCAACGCCGCGUGGAGGAUGAAGGUUUUAGGAUUGUAAACUCCUUUUGUUAGAGAAGAUAAUGACGGUAUCUAACGAAUAAGCACCGGCUAACUCCGUGCCAGCAGCCGCGGUAAUACGGAGGGUGCAAGCGUUACUCGGAAUCACUGGGCGUAAAGAGCGCGUAGGCGGGAUAGUCAGUCAGGUGUGAAAUCCUAUGGCUUAACCAUAGAACUGCAUUUGAAACUACUAUUCUAGAGUGUGGGAGAGGUAGGUGGAAUUCUUGGUGUAGGGGUAAAAUCCGUAGAGAUCAAGAGGAAUACUCAUUGCGAAGGCGACCUGCUGGAACAUUACUGACGCUGAUUGCGCGAAAGCGUGGGGAGCAAACAGGAUUAGAUACCCUGGUAGUCCACGCCCUAAACGAUGGAUGCUAGUUGUUGGAGGGCUUAGUCUCUCCAGUAAUGCAGCUAACGCAUUAAGCAUCCCGCCUGGGGAGUACGGUCGCAAGAUUAAAACUCAAAGGAAUAGACGGGGACCCGCACAAGCGGUGGAGCAUGUGGUUUAAUUCGAAGAUACACGAAGAACCUUACCUAGGCUUGACAUUGAGAGAAUCCGCUAGAAAUAGUGGAGUGUCUGGCUUGCUAGACCUUGAAAACAGGUGCUGCACGGCUGUCGUCAGCUCGUGUCGUGAGAUGUUGGGUUAAGUCCCGCAACGAGCGCAACCCCCUUUCUUAGUUGCUAACAGGUCAUGCUGAGAACUCUAAGGAUACUGCCUCCGUAAGGAGGAGGAAGGUGGGGACGACGUCAAGUCAUCAUGGCCCUUACGCCUAGGGCUACACACGUGCUACAAUGGGGUGCACAAAGAGAAGCAAUACUGCGAAGUGGAGCCAAUCUUCAAAACGCCUCUCAGUUCGGAUUGUAGGCUGCAACUCGCCUGCAUGAAGCUGGAAUCGCUAGUAAUCGCAAAUCAGCCAUGUUGCGGUGAAUACGUUCCCGGGUCUUGUACUCACCGCCCGUCACACCAUGGGAGUUGUGUUUGCCUUAAGUCAGGAUGCUAAAUUAGCUACUGCCCACGGCACACACAGCGACUGGGGUGAAGUCGUAACAAGGUAACCGUAGGUGAACCUGCGGUUGGAUCACCUCCUUUCUAGA